ACAACAGUGGCGACAGCAAAGAAGAGAGAGAAAGAUGCUUGAAGAACUAAUCCAAGAGGAAGAGCCUAUUGUCAGGCUUGAAUAGGCAGCAUUUCAUGCAGCCACAAAGGAGGCCCACAAACAUGUAUCUCUUCUGUUUUUCCAAGAAUUCUGAGGGCCAGAUAGAAAGAAGAGGCUCUCAGGUAGAUUGACCACACCGUGCAGUGGUUGUAGCUGCUGUAGUUUCUCCAUACGUCUCAAAAUAAAUGAAAAGGCUGGAUAAUCUUCUGAAGGAUCAUAGUUAUUGCACCUCAGGCUGAGAACAAAGGCCAAGAGCCCUUCUGCUUUCGUCCUUCAGCUCACAACCAAGGCUUGAUUCUCCCGGCAGAGCCUUGGUUAAAUAAGGCAGCACCUGAAAGAGAGAAGAGCAGCAAAGCACACACUCAGCCAACUGGCAGCUGUAGCACUAUAGUAAUUGCUACAAUAUGUAAAGUAAUAACUUGAGCAUUGGCAGACCCCUUUUUAGUAAACAUGGCUUUCCUGUGAUUCUCUUUUGGAAAGCGUGGGCUUACUAAUGGUAAAAUAAACAAUUCCUCUGUUGACAA